UCACACUCCUUCCGAAUUUCUAAACAACGCCUUCUUUGCUAGAGAGAGAAGUUCGAUUGAAAUUCAUAGUCAGUGGACAGAGACAUGAUGUUUCGAUCUGUAUAUUUGUUUCUUAUUGCAGCAGUAUUCUUGCUCGAUUACGUUCGAGGCGAUGCCGUUUUUCAGACACCUGCUACGUCCACAGUGAUUGAAGGGAUUGAAGCGUUGUUGAACUGUAGCUACACUACAAUCGCAAGCAAUUUUGCAUUACUCUGGUACCGUCAGUAUCCCGGCGGAUCUCCGGAGUUCCUGUUGAUGCGGACGAAAUACGACAGUAAUCAAAAUGAAAUUCCAGGCCAACGUUUCACAGCGCAACUGGAUGUUUCAACGGGAACUGUCCCACUGACUGUGUCUGAGGCACAACUAGGAGAUGUGGCCAUAUAUUUCUGCGCUCUGAGCCACACAAAGGCAUAACCCUUAUCAGUGAUUGUACAAAAACUACUCGUUCUCCCUAGAGCCAUCUGGUUGCAACUGCAGCUUGGAGUGCAGCAGCAAAUCUUAGCUGAUUCCUGUAAUUAUGACAAUACUAAUAUAUAUUUUACACUAUUAUUUAGAUUUAAAUAUACCGAUUCAAUCAGUUUUAACAGGUUGCGUCUGAAUCUGCCAUCGUGCGCAUUGUGUAGGAUAAUCCUAAUGCAGUUUUUGAAAGAGCUAAAG